AAACCCUCCAUAUUCAGGAGGAAGAGAGGAAUGGCUCUUGACAGCCAGUCUAUCUAUACCUUAUAAAGAUUUACUGUUGGUGUAAAUAUUCAGGAGUUCUUUAUAACAGGAAUCAGCAGGAGCAAGAAAAGAAGAGAGAAGAUACACGACCAUGAACACACAGUGCAGAGAGAGGGGACUACAGAUGGUUGAAAUACUGUGUGGUUUCUUAUGGGAUGUCUUGGCACUGCCUUCCUGGGAACUGGCAGGCAGGAUGAGGGAGAUUUUGUCAAGACUUCUUUUCUCAAGUCUUCAUGUGGGGUCUACUAAGUGUUGAGCUGUGCUAGAGGAUAUGGAAAGAAGAUUUAAAAGUCUCAACUGGUAUCUCCCAAAGGUUUACACUCUAGAGGAGACAUCCAGCUGUCUCUAAACUACAGCAUGAUGUGCCCUUUGAGCAAGGGUGUGCCCAGCUCUGUCAGGAGCACGGAGAACUCAGCUCCCAUGGGAACAGGCUUCUCAGCAGUUCCUCAGGCCACCCUGUCAUCUCCAAGGCAACAGCGACGAGAAAGUGAUGAGAAGUUAUUUACUGAUUUCCGGGACCAUGCUGGAAGAAAUAGGAAAAUACUCGAAUAUAUCUAAGUGUGACCUAUGGUGCUACUGUGGACACCGAAUUGUCCCCUCAUGAAACCUCUAGCAGGCGGCCACAUUCUGGACUUUCCUUUCUGGUUUGGCCCAAGACAAUAAUCCCUCUUCCUUAGAAAUGCUCUCUGAUCAACACACCAAGGUCUUGCUGUGCGGCUGGUGAGGCAGGUAGGCCAGGAGUCAUUGUUUCCUGUUAGCAGGUGGGCACACUGAAGCUUGGGAAGCUAAGUCUACAGAGUCUCUGUGCUAAACGCUUUUGUAGAUAUUUAUCAGGUGGUCCAUCUCGGGUGGCAGCUGCGACUUCUGGGGCUUAUAGAAAUUCUGUGUCUCAUUGAGUGGUCUGUGCAGUGUAGUCAAUGGAUAAGUCCAAAGCGACAUUGACCGUGUAUCUGGAAUGAUCCCUUGGAGAUCAUUCUUUGACUCCCUUGAUAUACAGAUGGAGAGCUAGAGGCCUGGAUUUGAGGGGCCACAUGCCUGGGAUCUCCAAGCAAACAAGUAUUUUAGCCACAUAAUAAAACCCCACCAGGUUUGAGCUGCUCUACAGAUGCACUAGAGUAACAUGAUCAUAGACACGGUUCUGAAACAAAGGUGUGGAAAUCCACUGGUCAGCUUCAAGAUGUCCUGAGGACCUACUGAGGCUCAAAUGUCUUAAAGAUAAAGUCUUCCAUGGCUGCGGUGUUGCCUUUUCCCACAGAAGCGUACAGUUUGCCAUGUGGAGCAAAGAAUCCUUGCAUUCCAAAUGACAUGGCUCCUCCUCUUCUCCUACUCGGCCUACAAGUAGGGGUCAGAAUGGGAUCACCCCCAAUCCCUAAGGAAGGUUGGUCCCCCUCUCUGACCAGGCACUAAGCAGUCCGGCAGCUAUGAACACACAGGUGUCCCAGGAGGAAGUACUAUCUCAGGGCCUCCUUGUCUGCUGACCCAGAACCCUUGUUCACCUUAGCAACAGUUCAUGUGAACCACAGACUUUGUCUUUCUGUUCUGAGUGAUGAAGCAGAGGUUGCCACCCUGUUUGCAUUCCGAUCCUUUGUGUAAUCAUGUACAUCCCUACGCUUGCCUAGGCGUCGGGUUUUGCUUACUAUGCAUAUCUUUAAUAUGUGUUUCCCAUUUUAUGUAUAUUGGAAGUAUGUAUCCAUUUUCUCA